AUGUUACCUAAGAAAGGAGAUACAUGGCACGUGAAAGUUCAUAAACUACUACAAAAACCACUUUCAAAAAAAAUAUUCAUGAUAGUUAAAAUAAGCAAACCAAAUAUCAUUGGCUCCUCCCAUAUAACUCACAGGAAGGGUCAAUAUAAUGUAUUAGUUCCAAAAGUAGAACUACUUGGAAGUUGGCAUAUAGGAAAGGUAAUUGGCAAACUUCCAAAUACCCCAACCUAA